GACGAACGCUGGCGGCGUGCCUAAUACAUGCAAGUCGAGCGGAAGUUGGAGAGCUUGCUCUUCAACUUUAGCGGCGGACGGGUGAGUAACACGUGGGCAACCUGCCCUGCAGAUCGGGAUAACUCCGGGAAACCGGUGCUAAUACCGAAUAGUUUUCGCCACCUCCUGGUGGCGUACGGAAAGACGGUUUCGGCUGUCACUGCAGGAUGGGCGCGCGGCGCAUUAGCUAGUUGGUGGGGGAACGGCCCCCCAAGGCAACGAUGCGUAGCCGACCUGAGAGGUUGAUCGGCCACACUGGGACUGAGACACGGCCCAGACUCCUACGGGAGGCAGCAGUAGGGAAUCUUCCGCAAUGGACGAAAGUCUGACGGAGCAACGCCGCGUGAGUGACGAAGGUUUUCGGAUCGUAAAACUCUGUUGUGAGGGAAGAACAAGUACCAACUAACUACUGGUACCUUGACGGUACCUCACCAGAAAGCCACGGCUAACUACGUGCCAGCAGCCGCCGUAA
rnacentral:rRNA from 1 species